rnacentral:rRNA from 1 species
UGGGGAAUAUUGCACAAUGGGGGAAACCCUGAUGCAGCGACGCCGCGUGGAGGAAGAAGGUCUUCGGAUUGUAAACUCCUGUUGUUGGGGAAGAUAAUGACGGUACCCAACAAGG